rfam:Felis catus isolate Cinnamon breed Abyssinian chromosome X, whole genome shotgun sequence.
GCCUGGGUAGCUUAGUUGGUUAAGUGUCGGACUUCGGCUCAGGUAAUGAUCUCACAGUUCAUGGGUUUGAGUCCCAUGUCAGGCU